CGUUAGCCAUUUGGAAGAUAUAUUUAGACGCAACUUCUUCUGAGAAUCGUUUUGCACGACGCAAGUGUUGAUACAACUCACCCCUGCCAGCAAACUCUAAAAUCAAAUAAAUCCUUUUUUCAUCAUGAAAGUGCCCAUAUAGCCGUAAAAUGUUUUUAUGGCGAAGAUUUGAUUGAAUCUCAAUUUCUCGUCGAACUUGCUUUUCUAUCUUUGACUGGACAAGUUCAGACUUAUGCAAUGUUUUGAGAGCCACAAUAAACCCGGU